CUCUUGUAGUUGAUUUGCUUAUAUGAUAAUCAUUAGCCAAUUUCUAUGCUUGAUUUGAACCUAAUUAAAUUUGAUUCAAUGGCAUCCAAUGGUUGAAUGCUUAAUUUAUGGCUUGAAUUAAAUCAAAAAAAAAAAUUUUAUUCAUCUUGAUUUGAUCAAAAAAUUUUGAAGUAAAUUUAUGAAAUCAUGUGGGCUGAUUUGAAAGUUUUUUAUUGGAUCCCAUAUGAUGGGAUGGCUAGCACUGGAUAUGGGCAUGGGUGCAUUAUUGGUGGCACC
rnacentral:lncRNA from 1 species